rnacentral:rRNA from 1 species
GAUGAACGCUGGCGGCGUGCCUAAUACAUGCAAGUCGAGCGAACAGACGAGGAGCUUGCUCCUCUGACGUUAGCGGCGGACGGGUGAGUAACACGUGGAUAACCUACCUAUAAGACUGGGAUAACUUCGGGAAACCGGAGCUAAUACCGGAUAAUAUAUUGAACCGCAUGGUUCAAUAGUGAAAGACGGUUUUGCUGUCACUUAUAGAUGGAUCCGCGCCGCAUUAGCUAGUUGGUAAGGUAACGGCUUACCAAGGCAACGAUGCGUAGCCGGCCUGAGAGGGUGAUCGGCCACACUGGAACUGAGACACGGUCCAGACUCCUACGGGAGGCAGCAGUAGGGAAUCUUCCGCAAUGGGCGAAAGCCUGACGGAGCAACGCCGCGUGAGUGAUGAAGGUCUUCGGAUCGUAAAACUCCGUUAUUAGGGAAGAACAAAUGUGUAAGUAACUAUGCACGUCUUGACGGUACCUAAUCAGAAAGCCACGGCUAACUACGUG